rnacentral:tRNA from 1 species
ACUUGAAUAGUUUAGGAUAAAAUAUUGAUUUGUGGGGUUAAAGAUGUAAUAAAGAUUACUUCAGGUU